rnacentral:rRNA from 1 species
UACGAGAGGUGCAAGCGUUGUUCGGAAUGACUGGGCGUAAAGCGCACGUAGGUGGGCUUGUAAGUCGGAUGUGAAAGCCCCAGGCUUAACCUGGGAAUGGCACCCGAAACUAUAAGCCUUGAAUGCUUGAGAGGUUGGUGGAAUUCCUGGUGUAGGAGUGAAAUCCGUAGAUAUCAGGAGGAAUAUCGGAGGCGAAGGCGGCCAACUGGUGGUGCAUUGACACUGAGGUGCGAAAGCGUGGGGAGCAAACAGG